AACGAACGCUGGCGGCAUGCCUAACACAUGCAAGUCGAACGAGACCUUCGGGUCUAGUGGCGCACGGGUGCGUAACGCGUGGGAACCUGCCUUUAGGUUCGGAAUAACUCAGAGAAAUUUGAGCUAAAUACCGGAUAAUGUCUUCGGACCAAAGAUUUAUCGCCUUUAGAUGGGCCCGCGUUUGGAUUAGCUAGUUGGUGGGGUAAAGCCUACCAAGGCGACGAUCCAUAGCUGGUCUGAGAGGAUGAUCAGCCACACUGGGACUGAGACACGGCCCAGACUCCUACGGAGGCAGCAGUGGGAAUAUUGGACAAUGGGCGAAAGCCUGAUCCAGCAAUGCCGCGUGAGUGAUGAAGG
rnacentral:rRNA from 1 species